CAGCAGUGGGGAAUAUUGCACAAUGGGGGAAACCCUGAUGCAGCGACGCCGCGUGAAGGAAGAAGUAUCUCGGUAUGUAAACUUCUAUCAGCAGGGAAGAUAAUGACGGUACCUGACUAAGAAGCUCCGGCUAAAUACGUGCCAGCAGCCGCGGUAAUACGUAUGGAGCAAGCGUUAUCCGGAUUUACUGGGUGUAAAGGGAGCGUAGACGGUGUGGCAAGUCUGAUGUGAAAGGCAUGGGCUCAACCUGUGGACUGCAUUGGAAACUGUCAUACUUGAGUGCCGGAGGGGUAAGCGGAAUUCCUAGUGUAGCGGUGAAAUGCGUAGAUAUUAGGAGGAACACCAGUGGCGAAGGCGGCUUACUGGACGGUAACUGACGUUGAGGCUCGAAAGCGUGGGGAGCAAACAGGAUUAGA
rnacentral:rRNA from 1 species